rnacentral:rRNA from 1 species
UACAGAGGUCCCAAGCGUUGUUCGGAUUCACUGGGCGUAAAGGGUGCGUAGGUGGUGGGGUAAGUCGGAUGUGAAAGCUCGGAGCUCAACUCCGAAAUGGCAUUGGAAACUACCCUGCUAGAGGUUCGGAGGGGGGACUGGAAUUCUCGGUGUAGCAGUGAAAUGCGUAGAUAUCGAGAGGAACACCUGAGGUGAAGACGGGUUGCUGGGCUGACACUGACGCUGAGGCGCGAAAGCCAGGGGAGCAAACGGG